GGCCCCACUCUCUAUUCCAGACACCUCCCCACCCCUCAGUAUCCCCUACCCCCGCCGUCUUUACCUACUCCCAACGCCAACCGCCGCCUCCGCCCUCUACCGUCGAUGCUGCGGCCUCACCCUACCCCUCUCCGGCCGACGAUGGUGCUCUGCCCUCCGACCACCGCCAAUCUCUGCCGGCUCGCCCCUGCCCCGUCCUGCCGCUGCCACGCCCCGUUGUUCCGUGCGCCGUCGUUCCUCCACUUGUGAUCCCCCCCACUGCCCCCGCGGUGCGAUCCCCUCCGCUCCAAACCUAGCAACGACGGAUCUCGGGUUCGCCAAGCUUCUACCAGAGCAGGACCGCGGAGGACACGGCAACGGUCAUGAGCGCCCCCUGCGACCGCGUGUGCGAAGCUGGCGUCAGCAGGUUGGGCUACCUCGAUCUACAACCAGCCACGGACGAGAUCCAUAACCACAGGUGCCGCCGCCUCGUACAUCCCCGACCCUUGAUUUGCUCCCUGCCCAUAUGGACCUUUCUGAGCAAAAUACGAUGCAACUAUAGACACCAAUUGGAAUAGGACAAGCAACAAUGUUUGCCAUGAAGAUGUGCCGGCCAAAUAAAGAUUCGAAACCAGUUAUGAACGAUCAAUGUAUUCAAAGGAACCGGAACUUCUGCUACUCAUUCAUGUAGGUAAUUGGUAAUCCAGAGCCUCAAGCUCCAAAUAGGAGAGAGUAUGUAUGAUGCUCCAUUUUAAACAAGAGCUAUAGCUGUUUUUUUUUCUGCUAGCUGUUUACUUGCAUGUCAUAAUCACAGGGAGAAAUUAUUAUUGUGGCUUAAUACACUAACUAAAAAUAGGAAUCAAUAUGCGACUGUGUUCUUGAGCAUUGUGUCAAGAGCCAUAAAACUAGAGGUGCUAUCCACCGGCGUUGCUGGAAACUACAAUGGUGCAUUGCAAGUAGAGUGUGUUCUGAAGAAAAUAGAACAACCAAUAGGUAGUUUAAUGUCAUAUGAUGAUUGCUUUUAGCUACAAAUGCCCAAUAUUGUGUGCAUUUUGUAGAUGUCAGUUGAGUUUCAGGUGCAUUCCCCAUUGGUGCCGACCGGGGAAAGAAUAUUGAGAAAUACUGUAAGCAGAACGCUGAUGGAACAUGGGCCAUCGUCGACGUCUCACUGGACAGCCUGCGCCCCAGGUCAGUCCUCAAGUGCCGGCGCUGGCCGUCAGGAUGUCUGAUCGAGUAUAUCUCUGCUGGCUCUUGGGUGAUGACUGACGAACAGUUCAGGUGCCUAGCAGCCACAGGAGAUUUUUCAAGCAGUCAGAACGAUCUCACUAUUUUCAUGUAAUAGGUCCCUAGCAGCCACAGGUGAUUUUGGUUGUGGGUGAUGACACCAAACAUAUCUCUAAAGGAAUCUUGUAUGACAAAGUAAGACAAAGAACUCGGCAAGGGCAACGAUUGCAAUCAAGGUCGAAGUUCAUAGACCUGCUGCAGAGCAGCAGUCUGAACUCUCCAAAACCAAACCACAAUGCGUGAUGAUGGAUACUAGCUGCGGCAGUUGGUUGAUCAGGAAGGAUUUGACAUAGGGAGUUUAUUAUAUGUGAUUUAUAUCGACUUAAAAUUUGACAUGCCUUUUUGCCUUUUUUUUGUUUAUACUGCCGUAUCCACUGAAAUGUAUGUUCUAUUCUACUUUUUCUUAUUCAAAUUUUACUGCACUAGGUUGUGCAGCAAUAUGUUGUGCCUCGAUGACAAUGGAUGAUCUUUGUACUUUUUUAUUUUUUAUCAUGUUUAUGACUUUUGUACCUGGCGGAGUGCCGCAAGAGCCUAGAAUUGAAGUGUAUGCUCACUGUCAGGGAACCCACUUACCAAUGAAAUCAGGUGAAGUGCUGCAAUUGCACAAAAAUAGCGCUCACAGGUCAAUACAAGUAAAAUUAAAAUUAUCAUAGCAUAAGUUU